GAUGAACGCUGGCUACAGGCUUAACACAUGCCAGUCGAGGGGAAACGACGGGGAAGCUUGCUUCCCCGGGCGUCGACCGGCGCACGGGUGAGUAACGCGUAUCCAACCUGCCUCUGACUGAGGGAUAACCCGUCGAAAGUCGGCCUAAUACCUCAUGGUAUCGUCUGCGGGCAUCCAACGACGAUUAAAGAUUUCAUCGGUCAGGGAUGGGGAUGCGUCUGAUUAGCUUGUUGGCGGGGUAACGGCCCACCAAGGCUACGAUCAGUAGGGGUUCUGAGAGGAAGGUCCCCCACAUUGGAACUGAGACACGGUCCAAACUCCUACGGGAGGCAGCAGUGAGGAAUAUUGGUCAAUGGGCGAGAGCCUGAACCAGCCAAGUAGCGUGCAGGAAGACGGCCCUAUGGGUUGUAAACUGCUUUUAUGCGGGGAUAAAGUGAGGGACGUGUCCCUCAUUGCAGGUACCGCAUGAAUAAGGACCGGCUAACUCCGUG
rnacentral:rRNA from 1 species